AUUCUGCAUGGUGUGAAGCAGGCUGGGAUGCAGUAAAUGGUGCCCUAGCUAAUCGGCCUGCAGCCAGAGCAGGAUUUGUCCAUUACAGUCUCACUUGCUUUCUGGGUGCAGCCUGAAUGAGAAGGUUUGAGCCAGUAUUUGCUGGGGUUUUCCCAUGCUUUCUUUUGAAGCUCUUGGUUUUUCCAUGCCUUGAAUUUUGGAGUGUGCCUUGAGAAGUGUCAUGGGUUGAUUUCAAAUGUUCAGUAACCUGUUACAAGAAGCAAUAUUGCCUAGCUCCAUUUUCUACCUCUUGAUUUGUAAAUGCUAUAGAAUGAAUGCUGUAUUUACCUGUAUUUGAGUGAUGAGGAAACUAUGACACAAUUGCAUCAGGCAGUAGACUGAAGGAAAGGCUUGGAGCAGGAGUCAGACUGCUAAGUCUCCGAGCAGAGUUCCAGGUGCAAGCAGGGCUCCUCCAUCCCUUCUGUCCUUUCCUUGUUUUGUGUCUCCUUGUAUUCCUAGGGAAAUGAAAUGUGAAUUCUAAGCUUCAGCAUCUGUGCUAGGAGAAUAUGCAGCCAAGUGAAAGGUGGCUGAAUUUGGCCCAGUAUUGGCCACUGAUUCUUAAAGACCUUCUUAUCACAGAGUGAACUGCUUCAGAAACCAGCUCGAGAGCUGACAGCCCACAGUGCUGAGUGACAAGUUAAAUUUCAGUUAUAAAAAAGCCAUAAAGGAAGUCUGACAUAUUUUUAUCUCCUCCACUACUCCAGUGGAAGCUGCAACCUUGAUAUUUCUGACAGAAAUUACCUGGGGGUCUGAGAUGCGUUCUACAGUCUGCAGAUGAUCGCAUAGUGCACAAACCAAAGCCAUGAGCGACCUGGUUAUUUUAGGUAUGGAUCAAUGCCAUUGUCAGUGGAAUUAAGGCACCCCAGCUGCCAGUGGGUUUGUACAAUGGCCAUGAAGGGGUUCACUGUAGCAAGGUUUAUAGGACAAAUUUUCAUUCCUGUACAUAACCUUAACCUCCUGUGCUGAGGAGCUCUGCUCGUGGACCAGGACUAUCGUGAAAAAUUGCUGUACAUUCACAAAGUGGAAAAAAUAGUCCCAUUCACACCCUCAGGAUGGGUAAUCUGAGCUGCAAGAAGACUCAAGAUUCAGAGGACUUCCAGCCAGCCAGCACUGGAGGCCUUGUGGAAGCCUCAGUCCCAGCAAUCUGGCCCAGCAUUGCUUCGGCACACACUGAGCUCCACAUCACGAGGGAGCAGUGCGCCAAUAUCUGAACUGUUGUAAAUUAAAGCCAGCAGAAGUAGCUUUCCAUUCACACUUUCAGUUUUCGUAUCAACAUGCCAUAAUGACAUGAGGCAGCAGUUGGAUGUAGAAUGGUAAGAAUAUUUGGGCAUUUUAAGCAACGAGGAUAAGUUUGUUUAGCUCACACAUCCCUCCCUUGCUCCAGCUGAGAGAUCACAAGUCACUGUCCACAGCUACAAAGGGCCAGACUGAAAGCUCCUCUUAGGUGAGAAGCAGAAGGGGUUUAAACCACCACAUCUUGUCUGUUUGUAAAUGCUAAGCCCUGCUGUUAUAAAUUACUGCUCCGCUUCUAGAUUGGUUCACAGUCUUUUUGCUCCCUUAUAGAGGCAGGGGUGACACCUCUCACCUCUGGUGAAGGGUUGAACUACAGGCAUUCAGCUAAAUCCCAUGUUACCAGCUAGAAAGUAAAACAUGCUUUUCAGUCAGCUAUGGGAUGUGUUUCCCAAAUGCUCUGGUAUCUCCAGUCUCUCCUACUUUCUUUGUGAAACUGUUACUUUGCAUAAUAGAGGGGAGAGACGCUGCUCCAAACAUCUGGUAGGCAACACCAUGUAUAAUUUAGGUUGCAUCACUCACUCUCCCAUCAACAACAGGAACACAGCUUCCCUCUUUUUUUCUCUUGAUCUCUUAUCCCUUUGCUAGAAAUGCAAGGUCAAAAGUAGCUGUGGGGCAAUAAACUGUAUCCAAUAAACCACAGAGUUUUGAGGGACUCACUGCUUGUGAGUGAGACUUCACAACCAGGUCAUUUCCCAGCUCUACAUGUGCAAAGGGAUAAAGAACUCAGUAAAUCCUGGUCAGGACAGGGCAUGUUUUCAAAUGCUCUUUCUUCUCCCAGAGGCAUCUGGUUACCCUUCAGCAAAGCCUAGAGACUCAGAUCACGUCAUCAUCUGAGCACAGUGCUCUGGCAAUCACCAUCAAGGUCAACAUCACUGCAGUUAGCUAUGGAGUCCCCCACGUGCAUCAACAGACUGAUUGUGAGGGAGGUCACCAAGUCCACUCAUGUCUAGCAGAAGGCUUCUUGGGCUGGGAAUGGGAGUUUCAUCAUCUCCAAAGGACUCUUCAUUUUGAGGACCAAGCCACCUUUUUCUUCUGCAUUGGUGGUUCUCUCAGACAGAAAGCUGCAGCAGGAAAACUACAAUUUGCUGCUAUUCCUCUGUUAAGAGGAAUAUUUGGGGCCUAUCCAGACCUGCACUCCUGUUGAUCUGCUCUUGAUGAGCACAGUCAAGUGGUUAAGGCCCUGAUGCUGGAGUUUAUGGCUUGAAUCAAUGGGAUUAUUCAUAAGUUCAGAGAUAACCACGUGCUUUUAUAUGUGGCUGGAGUGGCGUCUAAAGCUGACAGCUGGGAGUCAAAAGCUCUGAGUCACCAGGUCCCUCCUCGCCUUCCUGUGUGACCAGUCUACCUGUGUCUGCUUCCUUGCCUGCCGUAUAAGGAGGAUGACAAUUGCUUUUAUCUGAUGGUUACUUUCAAAUGGCCCUAAAGGCCUUUUUUGGUCUGAUGAAAAUUCAGUAGAAGCUGGACUAGCAUGGAAAAGACAGGAGGACAUUUAACUAAUGAGAGCACCGAAGCUCAGGAAGGCAAUUACAUCCUUUUUUUCCUCCCCAUGUUCCCACACAGAUUGCUGCAAAAUCUUCUAUAUGCAGAAUGGAGUGGGAGACCACAAAAAGGCCCUUUGAGCCAGUGGAAGGCUCAGGUGGAGCAGUUGUUUGGGUGUCCAGCACAGCAGCCUGCAGCCAUGGAGCAAGCAUGUACCCCAGGGCAGCAGUGUGAGAGCAGGGCUGGCUUCAAGCAUACCAACAUGUGCUGCUUUCCAUUCUGCUGAAGUUUGAUUGUUCCCUCCCCUCUGCAAUUUGGAUGCUUCCUCUCCUUGCUACAGCUCUGAUGCAAGUGCUGCACUGCCGUGUUUACCAAACCUGGCAUGAGUACCCACUGCUAGUCUAGACACCAGUCUAACUGUAGCGCUAAUGCUAGGGUUUAACAGACUGAUCUCGGCAUUUGUCAUAGCUCUGCCCACGGUCAUCACUUUGAUCUUUAUCCUUGAAAACCACAGUCAUUGACGAAGGUUCUUUGUUCCAAAUGCCAACCAACUGUGAAAAUCCAGAUGCGUUCUGGCAUAAUGACCAGAGGUCCCCAGCAGUACAAUUAGAUGAUCAUUUCAGGAGUGGAAGCAAGAGGUGCAUCCCAUAUGGUGGGUCAUGCAGUAGGAAAAUGCCCCCAUUGUAAAUUAUACAGUGCAAGUGAUCUUUUUGAUCUUCCAUGCCAUUGUCACAGCCUCCAGUCACAUCAGCAGGAAGGGUUUAGUCCCCAGUGUGACAGUGCAAAUGUGGAGGCUGCCAAACUAUCCAGGGCAAGUUAACACCUGAGUUGGUGUCUGCUCUUCUCUGCAUGCCUCUGUUGGAAAACAAACUAAUAAAGAGUCUUGGUCCCAAUGAAGAUGACAGUUCUGACACAUGUAAGAAAGUCCAGUUUCCCAGAGGAAAGCUCAGACAAAAUAUCUGACCUGAAAUAUUUAUCACUUUACAC